AGAAUUCCUCUUUGGCUGAUAGGUACUGUAGCUGGUAUUGCUGUGAUUGGUUUAGUAGGUGUUUUCUUUUAUGGUUCAUAUUCUGGAUUGGGUUCAUCUCUAUAG
rnacentral:rRNA from 1 species